GACGAACGCUGGCGGCGUGCCUAAUACAUGCAAGUAGAACGCUGAAGGAGGAGCUUGCUUCUCCGGAUGAGUUGCGAACGGGUGAGUAACGCGUAGGUAACCCGCCUGGUAGCGGGGGAUAACUAUUGGAAACGAUAGCUAAUACCGCAUAAGAGUAGAUGUCGCAUGACAUUUGCUUAAAAGGUGCAACUGCACCACUACCAGAUGGUCCUGCGUUGUAUUAGCUAGUUGGUGAGGUAACGGCUCACCAAGGCAACGAUACAUAGCCGAACUGAGAGGGUGAUCGGCCACACUGGUACUGAGACACGGCCCAGACUCCUACGGGAGGCAGCAGUAGGGAAUCUUCGGCAAUGGGCGGAAGCCUGACCGAGCAACGCCGCGUGAGUGAAGAAGGUUUUCGGAUCGUAAAGCUCUGUUGUUAGAGAAGAACAUGUGUGUGAGUGGAAAGUUCACACUGUGACGGUAUCAUACCGUAAAGGGACGGCGAAUUACGU
rnacentral:rRNA from 1 species